CUACGGGUCGCAGCAGUGAGGAAUAUUGCACAAUGGGGGAAACCCUGAUGCAGCAACGCCGCGUGGAGGAUGACGCAUUUCGGUGUGUAAACUCCUUUUAUCAGAGAAGAAAAUGACGGUAUCUGAUGAAUAAGCUCCGGCUAGCUCCGUGCCAGCAGCCGCGGUAAUACGGAGGGAGCAAGCGUUAUUCGGAAUCACUGGGCGUAAAGGACGCGUAGGCGGGUUUUUAAGUCAGGUGUGAAAUCCUAUGGCUCAACCAUAGAACUGCACUUGAAACUGGGGACCUAGAGUAUGGAAGGGGCAGGUGGAAUUAGUGGUGUAGGGGUAAAAUCCGUAGAUAUCACUAGGAAUACCGAAAGCGAAGGCGACCUGCUGGGACAUUACUGACGCUGAGGCGUGAAAGCGUGGGGAGCAAACAGGAUUAGAUACCCUUGUAGUC
rnacentral:rRNA from 1 species